UGGGGAAUAUUGCACAAUGGGCGCAAGCCUGAUGCAGCCAUGCCGCGUGUAUGAAGAAGGCCUUCGGGUUGUAAAGUACUUUCAGCGGGGAGGAAGGGAGUAAAGUUAAUACCUUUGCUCAUCGACGUUACCCGCAGAAGAAGCACCGGCUAACUCCGUGCCAGCAGCCGCGGUAAUACGGAGGGUGCAAGCGUUAAUCGGAAUUACUGGGCGUAAAGCGCACGCAGGCGGUUUGUUAAGUCAGAUGUGAAAUCCCCGGGCUCAACCUGGGAACUGCAUCUGAUACUGGCAAGCUUGAGUCUCGUAGAGGGGGGUAGAAUUCCAGGUGGAGCGGUGAAAUGCGUAGAGAUCUGGAGGAAUACCGGUGGCGAAGGCGGCCCCCUGGACGAAGACUGACGCUCAGGUGCGAAAGCGUGGGGAGCAAACAGG
rnacentral:rRNA from 1 species